UCCUUGUUAAUUUUUGUUAUUGGUAGCUUGUGUUGUUUUGUUUGAUGAUUUCUGCUUGGAUUUUCUUCCAGUGGCUUGUGGAUUUGACUUUGUUUUGUUGGUUUCUUUCUUUUUUCUUGUUUCUGUUUCUUGUUUUGCUUGGAUUUUUUGUUGAAUGGUUUGUGAGCUUCAGUAUGUUUUGUUGGAUUUGAUUGUUUGCAUUGCUGAUUUCUGCUUGGUUUUUACAGAGUACAUCAUGGACUUGAUUCAGUUUCUUGGAUUUGUGCGUUUCGCUGGCUGAUUUCUGCUAAGAUUUUGGUUGAAUAUCUUGUCUGCAGGAUUAUAUACCUAUUGUGUUUGAUAAUUUUAGUGCUAAUGUUGUUGUGGAAGGGACUACUGUAAAUUUAGGCCUAUGGGACACUGCUGGGCAAGAGGAUUAUAAUAGAUUGAGGCCUUUGAGUUAUAGAGCAGCAGAUGUGUUUGUGUUUGCUUUCUCAUUGGUGAGUUGGGCAAGCUAUGAGAAUGUGCUUAACAACAUUAUGCUCCUGGAGUACCAGUGGUUCUUGUUGGCACUAAAUUAGAACUACUCAUCCAUCAUAUCUCUGCAUCCCGAGAGCAUCGAAGGCAGGCCAGGAACUCAUAGCAUCGAAGGCAAGCCAAUAUAUACUAAAUGUUUGGUCCCAUUCAGCAACAUUCUUUGUGUUUGUUUACUUCUAGUCUUUCUGAACUAAAAAAAUCUGAAUGUUUGUUUAUGUGUUCUUUUGUUUUCAUUUUCUAUGACGACUGUUGAUAUACUUCUAUCUGUUAAAAAUCCAAGUGGGAAAUUAUUCAAUUUCUUGUUUUCAUCAAAUCAAAUCAUAGCAGAUGUUAAUAUUGUAAUCAUAGGCUGCAGGUGCUAAUGGUUAAGCUCUUUGUGAGUAAAUAAAUGUUGUUUAUUUGUUCUAUUGUUUUCUUUAUUUCUCUAUGUUACUGUUGAUAUACAUAAAUAUAUAUAUAUAUAUAUCUGUUGAAAAUUGAAGUGAGAUAAUUUUCAAGUGCAUGUUUCCAUCAAAUUAAAUUGUAGCAUGUGAUAAUUUUCAAGUAUGUGUUUCCGUCAAAUUAAAUGGCAGAUAUUAGGAGCAAAAUAUGAUGAGCAUGAAGCAAAUAGUCAAAGUGGAGAUGGACAAGGUGAUCACCAAGUUUGAUCACUAUAUGGUGGUUGUAAUUUUUUCAGAAAGUGGACUUGGUGGGUUUUUGUUGAAAUUAUAGCAAGGGAAACUGGUGUUUAUGUGGAAAAUUUGGAAGGAUUAUAGCUUUCUAUUAUAGUGGCAGAUUGAGAGGUGGAGUUUGACUGCUUUGGCAUCCCAAUAUCUGGGAUGUAUUGAAGUCCUCGAAUUUGAACAGAUAUUAACUUGUUUUGGAAGACAUUAUUUGUAAGUUUCCUACUAAGGCAUCUGAACCUCUACAUGGAUCUGGCAUCAUGAAGUUUUAUAUAUCCCAUACUUGUAGAAAAUAUGCUGUUUAGGCCAACAAUUCUUAUGUCACUCAGUCUAUAAUCAUGAUUAUAUUAAAUAUUAAUCAUUUGGUUUACAUCACUCAUUUAGUUGUUUCAGGUGUUCAUUAUUUGCUGACCUGUAUCUUGCCAUUAAUAGUUUUUCUUUUUUUUUUCAAAUAUGUGUGUGUCUUUCCAGUCUCAUUAGAUGUCAGUAAAACCUAUGUUAAAAGUGAGUUUACCUUAACUUUUUCGAUCAUAGAUUAACUUAACUCUUUCAAUCAUUGUCAUACCUCUUGGGCCCAAUCGAAACUAGUCCUGCCUUGUUUCAAAAAUGUAUUUAAAUGUGUUGCUAUAUGCACAAGCUUGAAUAAUUACACUCGUAGGAUAUCCAUGCUCUUGUUCUCAUUCUAAAACUUAGUUUGUCUAGUGCUUAUGUGUAUAUGCAUGCUUUUCUUUGUAGUUUUCGUUAGUGUUGUCACUAUGUGGACUUCUUGACUGGGAUUGGUUACUUGUGUUUGUUCAUCGGUUAUGAUUCCAGUUAGAGCUAAGAGGUCCUUCUAAAUUAUCAGUAUAGCCCUUUCCUAUGAAGACUGGUCAAAAUAUCGGGCAAGUUCAAGUUGUACCUUUUGGCCAUAGCAUCACCCUUAGUUUACCUUUAUGUAUUGUGAUCUAUUUGGGAAGCCAAUAGAUAUGAUCUAAUGUUACAGACAUCCAUGCCAAACAAAUUUAUUUACGUGUAUGUUUGGGAAAGGUAACCUCUUUUUAAGUGUUGCAAUAGAAUAAUAAAUGUUAAUUUUCUUGAUCAACUGAUACUUUAAUAGUUCGCAUUGAUAGAAUUCUGAUAUCAGUGUAAUGCAAGUCUGUGAUUUUGGUCUCUCGAGGUUGGAGCACAGCCAUUUUAUCAUCAAAGUCAACCGUUGGAAUGCCUGAAUGGAUGGCGCCAGGGGUGUUGCACAAUGAACCAUCAAAUGAGAAAGAUCCAAACUUGCGGCCUUCCUUUGCGGAUCUCACAACAGCUCUCAAGUCUUUACAACGGCUUGUUGUCCCUCUGCUUAUCAGGAUGCGCAAAACCCACCUUUGGCACAAGAAAUACCAGUAAACACAAUGCCUUGAACAACGGAAUGCUCUUUAUGGCUAUUCAGUAUAUAUUGGCACUCACAAGUCCGGAGAACUUGCAGAGGCUUGUAGGAGUUUCUUAGGGUGUUUUCGGUGCUUUGUACCCAAUUGAAAACCAGGGACAUUAUAUAGACGAAAAUGGGAGGACCCUAUGGCUGAUUCUGACGGAAGGGAGUGCGCCCGGGUUGAGUGUAAUUAAGUUGUGUAAAUAAUAGUGAUGAUACUUUGAGUUAUUGAAGAAUGUGGUCUCAGGAAUCUUUAAGAACUAGAUUCCAUUUCCUGAUUGAAUGAAUGAAUGAAUGAAUGAAUGGAGGAAAUGAAAAAGAGAAUAUGACAUUGUUAUAUUGGUGCCUGCAGUACUG